CGGAUUGCACGCCCGUCAUUCAUAUCAUCUUUCCACCUGUGAGCUAUGUGUAGAUCUGGAUAUCCCUCGCUUUGUAACGAAGCGGAUGCAAGGAUUGCUGUGUCGACAAGGCCGGCUCUCUUUGAAUUUCCAGGUCUAUGUCUUUUUACGCACCCAUUCGAAUGAUGUAGAAUGUAGUCAAUGGGCUUUCAAGCCUAUAAAACACUAUACAACUUUCAGCAACGGAUCUCUUGGCUCUCGCAUCGAUGAAGAACGCAGCGAAAUGCGAUAAGUAAUGUGAAUUGCAGGAUUCAGUGAAUCAUCGAAUCUUUGAACGCACCUUGCGCUCCUUGGUAUUCCGAGGAGCAUGCCUGUUUGAGUGUCGUGAAUACUCUCAAUCUUAAGUCUUUUUUUACGAGAAGGCCUUAGGGUUGGAUUUGGAUGUUGCUGCGAUUUUAUUGCGGCUCGUCUCGAAAUGCAUUAGCUGGUCCACCUCGGUCUUAACAAACGGUGUGAUAAGAAACAUUCAUUUGUGACUGUAGCGCUGCUGUUAUAGACUGGUGAAAGGACUGCUUCUAAUCGUCUUCGGACAAUUUUCAUGUCAUCUGACCUCAAAUCAGGUAGGACUACCCGCUGAACUUAAGCAUAUCAAUAAGCGGAGGAAAAGAAACUAACAAGGAUUCCCCUAGUAACGGCGAGUGAAGCGGGAAGAGCUCAAAUUUAAAAUCUGGCGGCCUAAGGUCGUCCGAGUUGUAGUCUAGAGAAGUGUUUUCCGUGCUGGACCGUGUACAAGUCCCUUGGAAGGGC
rnacentral:rRNA from 1 species